UACGUAGGCAGCGAGCGUUGUUCGGAGUUACUGGGCGUAAAGGGUGUGUAGGCGGUCCUUUAAGUUUGGUGUGAAAUCUCCCGGCUCAACUGGGAGGGUGCGCCGGAUACUGAGGGGCUAGAGUGCGGGAGAGGAGAGUGGAAUUCCUGGUGUAGCGGUGAAAUGCGUAGAUAUCAGGAGGAACACCCGUGGCGAAGGCGGCUCUCUGGGACGGUACUGACGCUGAGACGCGAAAGCGUGGGGAGCGAACAGG
rnacentral:rRNA from 1 species